rnacentral:rRNA from 1 species
CCUAUAAGACUGGGAUAACUUCGGGAAACCGGAGCUAAUACCGGAUAAUAUAUUGAACCGCAUGGUUCAAUAGUGAAAGACGGUUUUGCUGUCACUUAUAGAUGGAUCCGCGCCGCAUUAGCUAGUUGGUAAGGUAACGGCUUACCAAGGCAACGAUGCGUAGCCGACCUGAGAGGGUGAUCGGCCACACUGGAACUGAGACACGGUCCAGACUCCUACGGGAGGCAGCAGUAGGGAAUCUUCCGCAAUGGGCGAAAGCCUGACGGAGCAACGCCGCGUGAGUGAUGAAGGUCUUCGGAUCGUAAAACUCUGUUAUUAGGGAAGAACAAAUGUGUAAGUAACUAUGCACGUCUUGACGGUACCUAAUCAGAAAGCCACGGCUAACUACGUGCCAGCAGCCGCGGUAAUACGUAGGUGGCAAGCGUUAUCCGGAAUUAUUGGGCGUAAAGCGCGCGUAGGCGGUUUUUUAAGUCUGAUGUGAAAGCCCACGGCUCAACCGUGGAGGGUCAUUGGAAACUGGAAAACUUGAGUGCAGAAGAGGAAAGUGGAAUUCCAUGUGUAGCGGUGAAAUGCGCAGAGAUAUGGAGGAACACCAGUGGCGAAGGCGACUUUCUGGUCUGUAACUGACGCUGAUGUGCGAAAGCGUGGGGAUCAAACAGGAUUAGAUACCCUGGUAGUCCACGCCGUAAACGAUGAGUGCUAAGUGUUAGGGGGUUUCCGCCCCUUAGUGCUGCAGCUAACGCAUUAAGCACUCCGCCUGGGGAGUACGACCGCAAGGUUGAAACUCAAA